UACGUAGGUGACAAGCGUUGUCCGGAUUUACUGGGCGUAAAGAGCGCGCAGGCGGUCGAUCAAGUCGAGUGUGAAAGCCCCCGGCUCAACUGGGGAGGGUCAUUCGAUACUGAUCGACUCGAAGGCAGGAGAGGGUAGUGGAAUUCCCGGUGUAGUGGUGAAAUGCGUUGAUAUUGGAAGGAACGCCGGUGGCGAAAGCGACCUGCUGGACCUCUUCUGACGCUGAUGCGCGAAAGCUAGGGGAGCGAACGGG
rnacentral:rRNA from 1 species